rnacentral:rRNA from 1 species
UACGGGGGGGGGCAAGCGUUGUUCGGAAUUACUGGGCGUAAAGGGCUCGUAGGCGGCCAACUAAGUCAGACGUGAAAUCCCCUCGGCUUAACCGGGGAACUGCGUCUGAUACUGGAUGGCUUGAGAUUGGGAGAGGGAUGCGGAAUUCCAGGUGUAGCGGUGAAAUGCGUAGAUAUCUGGAGGAACACCGGUGGCGAAGGCGGCAUCCUGGACCAACACUGACGCUGAGGAGCGAAAGCCAGGGGAGCAAACGGG